rnacentral:rRNA from 1 species
UACGGGGGAGCAAGCGUUGUUCGGAUUUACUGGGCGUAAAGGGCGCGUAGGCGGCCACCGCAAGUCGACUGUGAAAUCUCCGGGCUUAACCCGGAAAGGUCAGCCGAUACUGCGGGGCUAGAGUGCAGAAGGGGCAACUGGAAUUCUCGGUGGUAGCGGUGAAAUGCGUAGAUAUCGAGAGGAACACCUGCGGCGAAGGCGGGUUGCUGGGCUGAACACGUGACGUGAUGCGCGAAAGCUAGGGGAGCGAACGGGG